CAACCUGCCGAUGACUCGGGGAUAGCCUUUCGAAAGAAAGAUUAAUACCCGAUGGCAUAGUUCUUCCGCAUGGUAGAACUAUUAAAGAAUUUCGGUCAUCGAUGGGGAUGCGUUCCAUUAGGUUGUUGGCGGGGUAACGGCCCACCAAGCCUUCGAUGGAUAGGGGUUCUGAGAGGAAGGUCCCCCACAUUGGAACUGAGACACGGUCCAAACUCCUACGGGAGGCAGCAGUGAGGAAUAUUGGUCAAUGGACGAGAGUCUGAACCAGCCAAGUAGCGUGAAGGAUGACUGCCCUAUGGGUUGUAAACUUCUUUUAUACGGGAAUAAAGUGAGGCACGUGUGCCUUUUUGUAUGUACCGUAUGAAUAAGGAUCGGCUAACUCCGUGCCAGCAGCCGCGGUAAUACGGAGGAUCCGAGCGUUAUCCGGAUUUAUUGGGUUUAAAGGGAGCGUAGGCGGACGCUUAAGUCAGUUGUGAAAGUUUGCGGCUCAACCGUAAAAUUGCAGUUGAUACUGGGUGUCUUGAGUACAGUAGAGGCAGGCGGAAUUCGUGGUGUAGCGGUGAAAUGCUUAGAUAUCACGAAGAACUCCGAUUG
rnacentral:rRNA from 1 species